rnacentral:tRNA from 1 species
GGAAUUGUACUUUAUAUAGAAGAACUGGUUUGCAUCCAGUCAGAGGCUUAUGCCCGUUUCCA